rnacentral:rRNA from 1 species
AACGAACGCUGGCGGCAUGCCUAACACAUGCAAGUCGAACGAACCCUUCGGGGUGAGUGGCGCACGGGUGCGAAACACGUGGGAACCUGCCCUUAGGUUCGGAAUAACACAGAGAAAUUUGUGCUAAUACCGGAUAAUGUCUUCGGACCAAAGAUUUAUAGCCUUUGGAUGGGCCCGCGUAGGAUUAGCUAGUUGGUGAGAUAAAGGCUCAUCAAGGCGACGAUCCUUAGCGGGUCUUAGAGGAUGAUCAGCCACACUGGGACUGAGACACGGCCCAGACUCCUACGGGAGGCAGCAGUGGGGAAUAUUGGACAAUGGGCGAAAGCCUGAUCCAGCAAUGCCGCGUGAGUGAUGAAGGCCUUAGGGUUGUAAAGCUCUUUUACCUGGGAUGAUAAUGACAGUACCAGGAGAAUAAGCCCCGGCUAACUCCGUGCCAGCCGCCGCUGUAA